CAGUCUCUCCCCCCCCCCCCUUUUAUUUUGGUUCUUUGGACAAGAUGAAAGAACCCUUUACUAAAAAAGGUUCUAAAGGUUAGAAAUCAGCGCUAACAAAAACACAUUCCCUUUUAAUUUGUUUAUGUCCAUAUUAAUGAUGCUGCUGCAUGAUUUCACCUGGUCAGAAAAAUGGCUCGCUGUCGUUCGACAUCGUUAGCUCUCUUUGGCAAGAGGAAGAUUUAAUUUAUAUUUUGUAACAUUGUUGCCGAGGUCUGAGUGGCAAACAGCAAGGUUCAUCCAAACCUGUGCUGUUGCAGACUAACUGCUAGCUAGAAGCAAGAGGAAAUACUGUGUUUAAUAAAUCAUAUACUCUUAGAUAAAAAGUGGUUCUAUAUAGAACCGUUUGUUCAAUUCAAAAUGUAACUGCCAUUCUGAUUCAAAAACCAACUGCCAAUCUAUUCCAGCAUGACAAUGCAAGAGGAAGGAGGUUGAACCAACUUGCAAGUAGCGUAUCAAUAAGCACAUUCUUUCUCAAUGUAUUAAGGUAAGCAAAGUUGACAAUUCAAUUCACAUAUACUGUAUGAAGCCAAAGUCAUAUGAUAAACUAUAGGCUAGAUAAAUAAAGUAGAAACAUUAUUAGAAUUUGAGCACGUUUGUAAGCUAGCUAGCAAACUAACUUAGCUAGCUAAACAGAAAAAGCUAGGCUACUUUAAUUCGCCACUUUACAAACUCUUUCAAAUGAAAGGUAUUUUUUAUUAUGGGAUAUGCCAAAUAGAACUACAGACCCAGUCUGACAUUGGCAAUUAGCUAAUUGUUUCUUUUAUUUCAGUAUUUCAGUGUGGAUUGAGGGGACUAGCCUAUGUUUCAUGAAGCCAUUAGAAGACUGUUGCUGACGGAAAGAAGUCAAGCAGGUAGCCCAGCGACUAAGGAGUUGGACUGGAGGGCUGCUGGGUUCACAUCUUCAAAACAUUCCCGUACUGUUGGGCCCUUGAGCAAGGCUCUUAACCCCACAACAUGCUCUCCAUCCAGGGGCACUGCACCGCAGCCUGAACCUGUGCUCGUCUCAACUGUAUGUGUGAGGUCUGCUGUUUGGGGGGUUGAGAACAGAGCAGAAGACACAUUUAUGUUGUUCACUGUAACUAAUGGACAAAGUGUGUAUUGUAUUGUAUUGUAUUGUAUUGUAUUGUAUUGUAUUGUAGUGUAUUGUAUUGUAUUGUAGUGUAAAGAAGUCAGCCAGAGUUGAUGUGGGUCAUCAUUCAAACAAAGAGAUGCCUCCCUGGCCACCAGUGCAUAUUUCCAAACUAUGUUUGCAUAUAAUAACAAUAAAUUCUAAAAACGA